rnacentral:rRNA from 1 species
GCAGCCGCGGUAAUACGUAGGGGGCAAGCGUUAUCCGGAUUUACUGGGUGUAAAGGGAGCGCAGGCGGCAAAGCAAGCCAGAGGUGAAAACCCGGGGCUCAACCCCGAGGAUUGCCUUUGGAACUGUUAUGCUAGAGUGCUGGAGGGGCAGGCGGAAUUCCUGGUGUAGCGGUGAAAUGCGUAGAUAUCAGGAGGAACACCGGUGGCGAAGGCGGCCUGCUGGACAGUAACUGACGCUGAGGCUCGAAAGCGUGGGGAGCAAACAGGAUUAGAUACCCC